UACGUAGGGUGCAAGCGUUGUCCGGAAUUAUUGGGCGUAAAGAGCGUGUAGGCGGCCCGAUUAGUCCGCUGUGAAAGUCCAGGGCUCAACCCUGGAAUGCCGGUGGAUACUGUCGGGCUAGAGUCCGGAAGGGGCGAGUGGAAUUCCUGGUGUAGCGGUGAAAUGCGCAGAUAUCGUAAGGAAGACCAGUGGCGAAGGCGGGUCUCUGGACAGUUCCUGACGCUGAGGCACGAAGGUCAGGGGAGCAAACGGG
rnacentral:rRNA from 1 species